ACACUGACUCGUUCGUGUACGAAUUGCUGUUAGCGUAAAAGAGACGUUGUUCGCAGUGGACUCAGUUUAGAUGUUCUUUCUUUUUGUUAACAAACCAUUCACAUUUUGUUUUCUCCAACUACGGUUGGUACAAAGUUGAACUAAAAAGGCGGAACAAAUUACUUCAGGUAAUUGAAUGAUUUUUGCAAAUCAAAAUUCGUUUAGUUAGAUCGAUGACAUCAUAUAACUUGUACAUCACAAUUGUACAUGGUAUACAUUGAAGGAAUAGCCAUCAAUACUCGAGUAAAUCAAAUGAGCUCCAAUGAUCAUUAUCUAUAAUUCUAAAUUAUGUACGAAACAUUUCCAAAUUAUCAUUUAAUUAGUUUAUGGUAAUUUUUGAAAAUGAAAUUGUAAAUCGCACUAAAUAAAUAAAUUAACUCCAUACACCGAA